CAAAUUAGAGCUUAUAAAGUAUUUCAUUUACAUUGAAAAGAAAUUAAUGAUUAAUUAAUUAAUUUGA
rnacentral:tRNA from 1 species